rnacentral:rRNA from 1 species
CCUACGGGAGGCAGCAGUGGGGAAUAUUGGGCAAUGGGCGCAAGUCUGACCCAGCAACGCCGCGUGAAGGAAGAAGGCUUUCGGGUUGUAAACUUCUUUUGUCAGGGAAGAGUAGAAGACGGUACCUGACGAAUAAGCCAUGGCUAACUACGUGCCAGCAGCCGCGGUAAUACGUAGGUGGCAAGCGUUGUCCGGAUUUACUGGGUGUAAAGGGCGUGUAGCCGGGUUGACAAGUCAGAUGUGAAAUCCUGCGGCUUAACCGCAGAACUGCAUUCGAAACUGGUGAUCUUGAGGACUGGAGAGGCAGACGGAAUUCCUGGUGUAGCGGUGAAAUGCGUAGAUAUUAGGAGGAACACCAGUGGCGAAGGCGACUUACUGGACUGUAACUGACGUUGAGGCUCGAAAGCGUGGGGAGCAAACAGGAUUAGAUACCCGAGUAGUC